UACGGAGGGGGCUAGCGUUGUUCGGAAUUACUGGGCGUAAAGCGCACGUAGGCGGCUUUGCAAGUUAGAGGUGAAAGCCCGGGGCUCAACUCCGGAAUUGCCUUUAAAACUGCAUCGCUAGAAUUGUGGAGAGGUAAGUGGAAUUCCGAGUGUAGAGGUGAAAUUCGUAGAUAUUGGGAAGAACACCGGUGGCGAAGGCGGCUCACUGGCCCGUUUCUGACGCUCAGGCGCGACAGCGUGGGGAUCAAACAGG
rnacentral:rRNA from 1 species